GGACAUUUUGCUGUUUUUGGUUAUUAUUUUGAAUAUUAUUAUAGAUAGAGAUAUACGGUAAACAACAAUUAUGUUCAACAAAGUAAGAUUUACAAAUAAGUCAACAUGACCUAAAUGGUCAAUUGACCCCCUAAGGAGUUAUUGUCCUUUAAAGUCAAUUAUUAACAAUUUUCCACUGAAACUACUGGGCCAAGUAUAUUAUAGAUAGAGAUAAUUGUAAGCAGCAAGAAUGUUCAGUAAAGUAAGAUGUACAAACACAUCAAGUGAUGUUUUUAUAACGGCAUGCAAUUAAAUUGUUGGUAACACAAUUUGAGCACAUCAAAUGGACCAGAGUGAUACCAUAUUUUUGUUAAUGUCCUCUACGAAACGGGUCAAAUCUCCUUCAGUAACUGGUUUUAAAAUAUGACAAAAUUAUCAAUGUACCGCUUAAUACAUGCUUUGAUGAAUACAUCAGUCUUUCUACUAUUGCAAUAUAGGGAUUGUGGAGGGAAAUAAAAAAUGUGAAUAUGUACCCUACGAAACGGUCACCUACGAAACAAGUAUGAGAGAAAAACGUUUCGUAGUGGACAAUAUAGCUACCACUACCAUGCAGUCUUUUUUUACUCUUUUAGCAAUUUUAUUCGUGCAAAACAAAUAACAAGGGUUAGUUUCAUGUAAUUUUUAUUAUGUUUUUAUCAACAUAGAAUAGGGUUGAUGUCAACUACGAAACUGAUUGUCCACUACGAAACGGUUUUGUCAACUACACAAACGCAUCAAAAUGUCCACUACGUAACAUGAGUUGUACCUUCAUAUGUGAAGUGCUGUCUAAUCUUUAUCGAUACAAAAUGGUUCUCCAAUUCAGAAUAAAUGAGAAUAAAAGUAGUUUUAAAUAUGUUUACCGGAAAUUAAAACAGAAAUAUUCUUGUCUUUUGAAAUCUGAACUUUACAAUGAAAGGCAAAUUAAACAGCAUGGAAAUAAACUAAGAAUUUAAAGAUUAUUUAAAGAAAACAUGUAUAUGGAAAAAUACUUAUUAAUUUCAAAUGAGGAUGAAAGGCGACUGCUUGCUAGGUUCAAAGUCAGAGCACAUAAAUUAGAAAUUGAAAGAGGGAGAUAUGUGGGGCUUCAGAAUAGAAAUUCUUUGAUAUUUUAAGAUAAAUCAUGAUGCUUUCAAUAAAUUAUCAUAAAACAAUUGAAAUAUUUCCAAAACUCACCAUUAUAGACACUUAAAUUAGAUGAGAGCCUUCUGCUCAUCAUCAAUACACGUGGCAUUCUUUAAUUAUCCGAUCAUCUCAACUUUCACGUGAUCUUGUUUUGAUCAAAAGGUAAGGUUAACGAUAAACCUAAAAUCAAAAGCGGACAAUAGAUAGUACAAAUUCCGUAAUCACGUAAUAUGAGGAAACUGCAAAAGACAAAUUGUCAAAAUCAAUGUAUUUAUAUAUUAUUAUUGUAUAACUAAUCAUAAUUAAUAGUUAAUAUUUUUACUGUAUAAUCUCCCUGGUUAAACAGUAACUAAUUUACAGGGAUACUCGACUGAAUGCUGUGAGUCGGGUAAGUUGUAAACAGCAGGGAAUAUGUUGAGAAUUAUGUGCAAUAAAGGAUUUAUUUUAUUAAAAAAAAAAAAAAAAAAAUUUCCUCAGAAAAAAAAAAAAAAAAAAAAAAAAGAUAUGUGGGGCUUCGAGUGGAGGAUAGAAUAUGUAAAUUAUAUACCAC
rnacentral:lncRNA from 1 species